rnacentral:rRNA from 1 species
AGAGCGAACGCUGGCGGCAGGCCUAACACAUGCAAGUCGAGCGCCCAGCAAUGGGAGCGGCAGACGGGAUAGUAACACGUGGGAACGUACCUUUCAGUUCGGAACAACCCAGGGAAACUUGGGCUAAUACCGAAUACGCCCGUAAGGGGAAAGAUUUAUCGCUGAAAGAUCGGCCCGCGUCUGAUUAGCUAGUUGGUGGGGUAAUGGCCCACCAAGGCGACGAUCAGUAGCUGGUCUGAGAGGAUGAUCAGCAUCACUGGGACUGAGACACGGCCCAGACUCCUACGGGAGGCAGCAGUGGGGAAUAUUGGACAAUGGGCGCAAGCCUGAUCCAGCCAUGCCGCGUGGAUGAUGAAGGCCCUAGGGUUGUAAAGUCCUUUCGGCGGGGAAGAUAAUGACGGUACCGCAGAGAAGCCCGGCUAACUUCGUGCCAGCAGCCGC